GAUGAACGCUGGCGGCGUGCCUAAUACAUGCAAGUCGAGCGAACAGACGAGGAGCUUGCUCCUCUGACGUUAGCGGCGGACGGGUGAGUAACACGUGGAUAACCUACCUAUAAGACUGGGAUAACUUCGGGAAACCGGAGCUAAUACCGGAUAAUAUAUUGAACCGCAUGGUUCAAUAGUGAAAGACGGUUUUGCUGUCACUUAUAGAUGGAUCCGCGCCGCAUUAGCUAGUUGGUAAGGUAACGGCUUACCAAGGCAACGAUGCGUAGCCGACCUGAGAGGGUGAUCGGCCACACUGGAACUGGGACACGGUCAAGACUCCUACGGGAGGCAGCAGUAGGGAAUCUUCCGCAAUGGGGGAAAGCCUGACGGAGCAACGCCGCGUGAGUGAUGAAGGUCUUCGGAUCGUAAAACUCUGUUAUUAGGGAAGAACAAAUGUGUAAGUAACUAUGCACGUCUUGACGGUACCUAAUCAGAAAGCCACGGCUAACUACGUG
rnacentral:rRNA from 1 species